UACGGGGGGGGCAAGCGUUGUUCGGAAUUACUGGGCGUAAAGCGCACGUAGGCGGCUUUUUAAGUCAGGGGUGAAAUCCCGGGGCUCAACCUCGGAACUGCCCUUGAAACUGGGAAGCUAGAAUCUUGGAGAGGCGAGUGGAAUUCCGAGUGUAGAGGUGAAAUUCGUAGAUAUUCGGAAGAACACCAGUGGCGAAGGCGACUCGCUGGACAAGUAUUGACGCUGAGGUGCGAAAGCGUGGGGAGCAAACAGG
rnacentral:rRNA from 1 species